rnacentral:tRNA from 2 species
GGUCCUAUAGUUCAAUGGAUAGAAUAAAGGAUUCCGGUUCCUUCGAUUGGGGUUCGACUCCCCAUAGGAUCA